UGUAAGCGUAUACCAAAGUUGUUGCAGUUAAAACGCUCGUAGUCGGACUUUGGCAGUUCCGGAUGUGUGCACGUCGUGUGCGCACUUCGCGGGGAUUGCUUUUGUGGUCUUGCGUAGGAUGAGGCACUUUUAUUAGUGAACGUCCUCACGCAACCACUUUUUACUGUGAGAAAAUCAGAGUGCUCAAAGCAGGCAUUUGCCGUGAAUGUAUUAGCAUGGAAUAAUAGAAUAGGACUUGGUUCUAUUUUGUUGGUUUGUUGGGACUGAGUAAUGAUUAAGAGGGACAGUUGGGGGCAUUUGUAUUUCGGUGCUAGAGGUGAAAUUCCUAGAUUACCGAAAGACAAACUGCUGCGAAAGCGUCUGCCAAGGAUGUUUUCAUUGA
rnacentral:rRNA from 1 species